GACGAACGCUGGCGGCGUGCUUAACACAUGCAAGUCGAACGGAAAGGCCCUGCUUGCAGGGUGCUCGAGUGGCGAACGGGUGAGUAACACGUGGGUGAUCUGCCCCUUACUUUGGGAUAAGCCUGGGAAACUGGGUCUAAUACUGGAUAGGACCAUGCUGUAGGUGGUGUGGUGGAAAGAUUAGUUUCGGUAAGGGAUGAGCUCGCGGCCUAUCAGCUUGUUGGUGGGGUAAUGGCCUACCAAGGCGUCGACGGGUAGCCGGCCUGAGAGGGUGGACGGCCACAUUGGGACUGAGAUACGGCCCCGGAUUCUACGGGAGGCAGCAGUGGGGAAUAUUGCACAAUGGGCGCAAGCCUGAUGCAGCGACGCCGCGGGGGGGAUGACGGCCUUCGGGUUGUAAACUCCUUUCAGCCAUGACGAAGCCCUUGUGGUGACGGUAGUGGUAGAAGAAGCACCGGCUAACUACGUG
rnacentral:rRNA from 1 species